UACGGAGGGUGCGAGCGUUGUCCGGAAUCACUGGCGUAAAGGGCGCGUAGGCGGCUGGGGAAGUCGGCGGUGAAAGCCCGGAGCUCAACUCCGGGUCGGCCGUCGAGACUCCUCGGCUCGAGCUCACUAGAGGCAGAUGGAAUUCCGGGUGUAGCGGUGGAAUGCGUAGAGAUCCGGAAGAACACCGGUGGCGAAGGCGGCCCGCUGGGCAGUGGCUGACG
rnacentral:rRNA from 1 species